AGUGAACGCUGGCGGUAGGCCUAACACAUGCAAGUCGAACGGCAGCACAGUAAGAGCUUGCUCUUACGGGUGGCGAGUGGCGGACGGGUGAGGAAUACAUCGGAAUCUACCUUUUCGUGGGGGAUAACGUAGGGAAACUUACGCUAAUACCGCAUACGACCUACGGGUGAAAGCAGGGGAUCUUCGGACCUUGCGCGAUUGAAUGAGCCGAUGUCGGAUUAGCUAGUUGGCGGGGUAAAGGCCCACCAAGGCGACGAUCCGUAGCUGGUCUGAGAGGAUGAACAGCCACACUGGAACUGAGACACGGUCCAGACGCCUACGGGAGGCAGCAGUGGGGAAUAUUGGACAAUGGGCGCAAGCCUGAUCCAGCCAUACCGCGUGGGUGAAGAAGGCCUUCGGGUUGUAAAGCCCUUUUGUUGGGAAAGAAAAGCAGCAGGCUAAUACCCCGCUGUUCUGACGGUACCCAAAGAAUAAGCACCGGCUAACUUCGUG
rnacentral:rRNA from 1 species